GCUUUUGUGGGGAGAUAACAGUUCUAUAAAUUUAGGGAUUCUCUACACACCUCAUUUACAAAAACAACUUUAUUAACCUUCGUAUCUCUGGGUUCUGAGACAAUAAUCACAUUUAUACCAUGAGAUUCCUGUAUUUUCUCUUCAUUGGUGUCUUUGUUCUGUCCUUGGCAACAUCAGGUUUCACUGGAUUAUCAAGUCAACCUCCAUAUUCCUGUAGUGUAUGCCCUCCUUCAACCUGUCGGUUAAAAUCAUUACCCUGCAAAAAGGCAAUUGAUGGUACCUGUCCUACAGGUAUGCAGUGCUGUGUGAAUGAUUCAUCUCAAAAAGAAUGCUGAAGAACUUUAUCUCUGCAUGGAACCCUCACCAAGUGCAAGAAUGAAAGUUACUGCCUAGAAUAAAAAAACAAAACAAAACACAGACUUCCUCUGAA